UGAAAGCCCCCGGCUCAACCGGGGAAGGGUCAUUGGAAACUUGGGGAACUUGAGUGCAGAAGAGGAGAGUGGAAUUCCACGUGUAGCGGUGAAAUGCGUAGAGAUGUGGAGGAACACCAGUGGCGAAGGCGACUCUCUGGUCUGUAACUGACGCUGAGGAGCGAAAGCGUGGGGAGCGAACAGGAUUAGAUACCCUGGUAGUCCACGCCGUAAACGAUGAGUGCUAAGUGUUAGGGGGUUUCCGCCCCUUAGUGCUGCAGCUAACGCAUUAAGCACUCCGCCUGGGGAGUACGGUCGCAAGACUGAAACUCAAAGGAAUUGACGGGGGCCCGCACAAGCGGUGGAGCAUGUGGUUUAAUUCGAAGCAACGCGAAGAACCUUACCAGGUCUUGACAUCCUCUGACAAUCCUAGAGAUAGGACGUCCCCUUCGGGGGCAGAGUGACAGGUGGUGCAUGGUUGUCGUCAGCUCGUGUCGUGAGAUGUUGGGUUAAGUCCCGCAACGAGCGCAACCCUUGAUCUUAGUUGCCAGCAUUCAGUUGGGCACUCUAAGGUGACUGCCGGUGACAAACCGGAGGAAGGUGGGGAUGACGUCAAAUCAUCAUGCCCCUUAUGACCUGGGCUACACACGUGCUACAAUGGACAGAACAAAGGGCAGCGAAACCGCGAGGUUAAGCCAAUCCCACAAAUCUGUUCUCAGUUCGGAUCGCAGUCUGCAACUCGACUGCGUGAAGCUGGAAUCGCUAGUAAUCGCGGAUCAGCAUGCCGCGGUGAAUACG
rnacentral:rRNA from 1 species